UACAUGGGGUGCAAACGUUGCUCGGAAUUAUUGGGCGUAAAGCGCACGUAGGCGGUUUGUUAAGUCGGAUGUGAAAUCCCUCGGCUCAACUGAGGAAGUGCACCCGAAACUGGCAGGCUUGAGUACUAAAGAGGGUCGCGGAAUUCCCGGUGUAGAGGUGAAAUGCGUAGAUACUGGGAGGAACACCGGUGGCGAAGGCGGCUACCUGGACCGGAACUGACGCUGAGGCGCGAAAGCGUGGGGAGCAAACGGG
rnacentral:rRNA from 1 species